GACGAACGCUGGCGGCGUGCCUAAUACAUGCAAGUCGAACGCUGAAGGAGGAGCUUGCUUCCCUGGACGAGUUGCGAACGGGUGAGUAACGCGUAGGGAACCUGCCUGGUAGAGGGGGAUAACAAUUGGAAACGAUAGCUAAUACCGCAUAAUAGCAGUUAUUGCAUGAUAACUGUUUGAAAGGUGCAGUUGUGCCACUACCAGAUGGACCUGCGUUGUAUUAUCUAGUUGGUGGGGUAACGGCUCACCAAGGCGACGAUACAUAGCCGACCUGAGAGGGGGAUCGGCCACACUGGGACGGAGACACGGCCCAGACUCCUUCGGGAGGCAGCAGGAGGGAAUCUUCGGCAAUUGACGGAAGGCUGACCGAGCAACGCCGCGGGAGUGAAGAAAGGUUUCGGAUCGUAAAGAUCUGUUGUAAGAGAAGAACGAGUUUGAGAGUGGAAAGUUCACGCUGUGACGGUAUCCUAUCAGAAAGCGACGGCUAACUACGUG
rnacentral:rRNA from 1 species